GAUGAACGCUGGCGGCGUGCCUAAUACAUGCAAGUCGAGCGAACAGAUGAGGAGCUUGCUCCUCUGACGUUAGCGGCGGACGGGUGAGUAACACGUGGAUAACCUACCUAUAAGACUGGGAUAACUUCGGGAAACCGGAGCUAAUACCGGAUAAUAUAUUGAACCGCAUGGUUCAAUAGUGAAAGACGGUUUUGCUGUCACUUAUAGAUGGAUCCGCGCCGCAUUAGCUAGUUGGUAAGGUAACGGCUUACCAAGGCAACGAUGCGUAGCCGACCUGAGAGGGUGAUCGGCCACACUGGAACUGAGACACGGUCCAGACUCCUACGGGAGGCAGCAGUAGGGAAUCUUCCGCAAUGGGCGAAAGCUUGACGGAGCAACGCCGCGUGAGUGAUGAAGGUCUUCGGAUCGUAAAACUCUGUUAUUAGGGAAGAACAAAUGUGUAAGUAACUAUGCACGUCUUGACGGUACCUAAUCAGAAAGCCACGGCUAACUAC
rnacentral:rRNA from 1 species